UGGUAUUGUUUUGGAAAGAUUUCAAAGGAAUCAAACUAUGAUAUGAUACUUCAAUUUUACAGAUGCAUGGAUAAAUCUUGCUGCUUUUCAUUGUCUACUAUCCUUUCUUUUACUACUGCAAGCGGAAGAGCGGCAACGGCCACCAUCUUUCAGCUCUUUGAGAGAUACACAACAUUUACAUCCUGUUGCGUGCAUCCAUUCCUGUGAUCUACGUAAAAAGUUCAGUUGCACUUCAAGAGCUGCAUUUCCACACAUUCUAGUGUGUUGGCUAGACCACAGCUAAUUCGGACCAGCAGAUAUAGAAAGCACUGCACUUGGUGAUGGAGGAGGGGAAGAUGCAGACAGACAGCAGACAAGAUGAGAAAUAGCAAGAUGGAAAAGAAGAUGAGCCUGACUGACAGAAACCUUCAAAGACGUACCUAUGC